rnacentral:rRNA from 1 species
CCUACGGGAGGCAGCAGUGAGGAAUAUUGCGCAAUGGGCGAAAGCCUGACGCAGCUACGCCGCGUGAGGGAUGAAGGCCUUCGGGUUGUAAACCUCUUUUCUGGGGAACGAGAUCAGGACGGUACCUCGGGAAUAAGUCUCGGCUAACUACGUGCCAGCAGCCGCGGUAAAACGUAGGAGGCGAGCGUUAUCCGGAUUUACUGGGCGUAAAGCGCACGCAGGCGGCUUCGUUAGUCGGAUGUGAAAGCUCCUGGCUUAACUGGGAGAGGCCAUUCGAUACUGCGGGGCUUGAGAUUGGGAGAGGGGUGCGGAAUUCCCGGUGUAGUGGUGGAAUGCGUAGAUAUCGGGAGGAACACCAGCGGCGAGGGCGCCCCUCUGGACGGAUACUGACGCUAAUACGCGAAGGCGUGGGGAGCAAACGGGUUUAGAUCCCUUGGUAGU